GGCCGGCUGGCUCAAUCGGUAGAGCGUCUGACUACGAUUGGUAUAUCAGGAGGCUGCAGGUUCGAGUCCUGCGUCGGUCA